UACGUAGGUGGCAAGCGUUGUCCGGAUUUACUGGGCGUAAAGAGCGCGCAGGCGGUCGUUCAAGUCGCGUGUGAAAGCCCCCGGCUCAACUGGGGAGGGUCACGCGAUACUGAUCGACUCGAAGGCAGGAGAGGGUAGUGGAAUUCCCGGUGUAGUGGUGAAAUGCGUAGAUAUCGGGAGGAACACCGGUGGCGAAGGCGGCGAGGUGGUCCAUUACUGACGCUGAGGCGCGACAGCGUGGGGAGCAAACAGG
rnacentral:rRNA from 1 species